rnacentral:rRNA from 1 species
UACGUAGGGGGCAAGCGUUGUCCGGAAUCAUUGGGCGUAAAGAGCGUGUAGGCGGCCAGAAAAGUCCGCUGUGAAAACUCGAGGCUCAACUUCGAGCUGUCGGUGGAAACUUUCCGGCUAGAGUCCGGAAGAGGAGAAUGGAAUUCCUGGUGUAGCGGUGAAAUGCGCAGAUAUCAGGAAGAACACCCGUGGCGAAGGCGGUUCUCUGGGACGGUACUGACGCUGAGACGCGAAAGCGUGGGGAGCGAACAGG